AUUGAACGCUGGCGGCGUGCUUAACACAUGCAAGUCGAGCGGAGCGGCGAACGGGUGAGUAACGCGAGAGUAACUGCCCCCCUCUCUGGGAAAACAGUUGGAAACGGCUGCUAAUACCGGAUAGUGGGGGAUGACUCGCGUCCUAUGAGCUUGUUGGUGGGGUAGUGGCCUACCAAGGCGUCGACGGGUAGCCGGCCUGGGAGGGGGACCGGCCACAAUGCGCUUGGAUACGGCCCAAACGCCUACGGGAGGCAGCAGUGGGGAAUAUUGCACAGUGGGGGAAACCCUGAUGCAGCAACGCGCGUGCGGGAUGACGGCCUUCGGGUUGUAAACCGCUUUCAGCCAUGACGCGGUAGUGGCAGAAGAAGCACCGGCUAACUACGUGCCAGCAGCCGCGGUAAUUC
rnacentral:rRNA from 1 species